AGGGCAGGGGCCUGUCUGAAAACAGAGCAGACAGUGGCAGGAAUCGAGGCCCACUCUGGGCUCUGUACCAGGCCAUCGGGUCCUGCCCCCACUGCUCUCCUCUGCCUGGGAACAAGGGCAGAGCCCCUAGCCAUGCCCUGCGACAGGAAGGGACAGUAUAACCACUCUCAGGUAUCUGCAGCGAGACCUGGUCCUCGACUGCCACCACCACACUGGCAUGAAAUAAUGUGGUUAACUCUGCACCGGGACCCUGCACAUGAGCCUUUGUCAGCCUUCCCACGGCCAGUGGUCAGAAAAGUGGCUUCCCAGGUCAGGCCAGUCAGGGUGCAAACAGCAAGUGUGGGAGGAGGCCCCCAGCUCUAUCCCCAACUCCACCCCAAGGCAGGUGAGAUGGGAAUCCAGGGGCUCCAAGAAGUGGCAGGGUCAGAUCUGGCUCUCGCCCCAAACCAGCUGUAAAUAGUCUGGUGACCAAGAAGCCACCUCUGCCUCUCUCUGGGCCUCAUUUUCUGCUCACAACAGCCUGAGCGGCUCCACUGUGCCACCUGGGAGGGGCCUGGCUCUUACUCGGGGGAGCAGGGGAGCUUCUGGGAAAGCCCAGCAUUCAAGGGAAGCAGCUCAUGGUGCAGGGAACUGGCGCACAGGGCGCUGGGCAUGGGGGGAGGACAAGUAAGGGCAUCACUGAGUGGACACAGCAAAGGGCACCGGAAGAGGCUGUGCAAGAGCUGAGAAGAGGAUCCUGCAGAAACAGCAGAGCACCCAGCAGCUGCCCUGGCAGAAAAGAACACGCUGUGCCGGCUCUUGGCACCGUCACACAAACAGACCUAGGAGGGGCUGGCUUGGCAGUCGGCCACGGCUCCUGGGGCCUCGAGAGUCGGAGGUGACCAGCAAGCUCUCUCAAGUCUAGCAUCCGGGCUCCCUGUCUGUGGAUAGAAUGGACCAAGUCAUUCUAGGUCCAGGCACAGAGGAAGACAUAGUCUUGAGCUCUGACUGCCUCCAGGACAUGGCUUCAGGCCAGGACUGGGACAGUUCUGGGUCAAGCCAUCCCUUCAAUGUCCAGGAGCUGUGGAGAUGAGGAUGGGGCGGAGGAGACAGAAAGUUGGAAGAGGCCUGUCCACAGUUCCCCAAGCAGGAUGGGGCAGAGUUGACCCCAGGGCCUCUGCUGGCCAAGGAGCCAGAUGUCAAAAGAUCCCAAAGAGCUUUCUGGCCACCCAGUGAGAAACUGCAGAGAGUCCAGUACCCAGCCCUCCAAAGCCAAACCAUCACCAAAUUCUACUGGCUCUUCCUUCAAAAUCCAGCCAGUAUAUCUGCCCAAUGCUCACCACCAUUACUGCCGUCACUGUGUCCAAAUCAUCACCUCUUACCUGCUACAGCUUCCUGACCACCUCCUUGCCCUCGUCAAGUCUGCUCUCAACACAGCAGCCAGAGGGAUCCUGGUAGGUCAGACCACAGCUCCCCAGUACCGCAAACCCCCAAUGGCUUCCAAUUCACCCUGAGUAAAGGCCGAGUCUCCAUCAUAGCCUACAAGCCCCCUCUUCCCAGGCCUCUUCCCCUGGAACCUUCUGCUCCACCCACACUGGUCCUUUUCUGCGCAUUGGACACAUCAAGCAGCCUCCCACCCCAUGACCCUUGCACCCACUGUCCUGUCUGAAGCUCCUCCCUCAGGUCUCUGCAGUGCUCCCUCUAUUCUGGUCUCUGUAAAUGUCCCUUUAGAUAAGCCUUCCCUGGGCAGCCCCGGUGGCUCAGUGGUUUAGCGCCGCCUGCAGCCCAGGGCGUGAUCCUGGGGACCUGGGAUGGAGUCCCUCGUCGGGCUCCCUGCAUGGAGCCUGCUUCUCCCUCUGCCUGUGUCUCUGCCUCUCUCUCUCUCCCUGCAUCUCUAUGAAUAAAUAAAUAAAUAAAAUCUUUAAAAAUA